rnacentral:rRNA from 1 species
AGCCGUCCAUGCUUACCAUGCAGUCGAGGGGCAGCGGGUUGAAAGCUUGCUUUCAAUGCCGGCGACCGGCGCACGGGUGCGUAACGCGUAUCAAACCUGCCUCAUACUCGGGGAUAGCCUUGCGAAAGUAAGAUUAAUACCCGAUGUUGUUGCUUUCUCGCAUGGGAGGGUAACCAAAGAUUUAUCGGUAUGAGAUGGUGAUGCGUCCGAUUAGGUAGUAGGCGGGGUAACGGCCCACCUAGCCUUCGAUCGGUAGGGGUUCUGAGAGGAAGGUCCCCCACACUGGAACUGAGACACGGUCCAGACUCCUACGGGAGGCAGCAGUGAGGAAUAUUGGUCAAUGGGCGAGAGCCUGAACCAGCCAAGUAGCGUGCAGGAUGACGGCCCUCCGGGUUGUAAACUGCUUUUAGUUGGGAAUAAAAAAAGGGACUUGUCCCUUCUUGUAUGUACCUUCAGAAAAAGGACCGGCUAAUUCCGUGCCAGCAGCCGCGGUAAUACGGAAGGUCCAGGCGUUAUCCGGAUUUAUUGGGUUUAAAGGGAGCGUAGGCGGAUUGUUAAGUCAGCGGUUAAAGGGUGUGGCUCAACCAUGCAUUGCCGUUGAAACUGGCGAUCUUGAGUGCAGACAGGGAUGCCGGAAUUCGUGGUGUAGCGGUGAAAUGCUUAGAUAUCACGAAGAACUCCGAUCGCGAAGGCAGGUGUCCGGGCUGCAACUGACGCUGAGGCUCGAAAGUGUGGGUAUCAAACAGGAUUAGAUACCCUGGUAGUCCACACAGUAAACGAUGUAUACUCGCGGUUUGCGAUAGACAGUAAGCCGCCAAGCGAAAGCAUUAAGUAUACCACCUGGGGAGUACGCCGGGCAACGGUGAAACUCAAAGGAAUUGACGGA